rnacentral:rRNA from 1 species
GACGAACGCUGGCGGCGUGCCUAAUACAUGCAAGUCGAACGAAGCUGUUUUAACUGGUGCUUGCACCGACUUAAACAACUGAGUGGCGAACGGGUGAGUAACACGUGGGUAACCUGCCCCAAAGCGGGGGAUAACAUUUGGAAACAGAUGCUAAUACCGCAUAACCACAGAAACCACACGGUUUCUGUGUCAAAGAUGGUUUCGGCUAUCACUUUGGGAUGGACCCGCGGCGUAUUAGCUAGUUGGUAAGGUAAUGGCUUACCAAGGCAAUGAUACAUAGCCGAACUGAGAGGUUGAUCGGCCACAUUGGGACUGAGACACGGCCCAAACUCCUACGGGAGGCAGCAGUAGGGAAUCUUCCACAAUGGACGAAAGUCUGAUGGAGCAACGCCGCGUGAGUGAAGAAGGUUUUCGGAUCGUAAAACUCUGUUGUCAGAGAAGAACGUGUGCGAGAGUAACUGUUCGUGCAGUGACGGUAUCUGGCCAGAAAGCCACGGCUAACUACGUGCCAGCCGCCGCAGUAA